rnacentral:rRNA from 1 species
UACGGAGGGGGCUAGCGUUGUUCGGAAUUACUGGGCGUAAAGCGCGCGUAGGCGGCUUUGUAAGUUAGAGGUGAAAGCCCGGAGCUCAACUCCGGAACUGCCUUUAAGACUGCAUCGCUAGAAUUGUGGAGAGGUAAGUGGAAUUCCUGGUGUAGCGGUGAAAUGCGCAGAUAUCAGGAAGAACACCCGUGGCGAAGGCGGCUCUCUGGGACGGUACUGACGCUGAGACGCGAAAGCGUGGGGAGCAAACAGG